UCUCCAACAAGCCUUACCCAAAAUACAAGACCUAUAUGAAGUUUAGGUAGUGCUACAAGCAAAAGGUUCUAUACUCGUUUUUAGUCUUGUCUAAUAACAAGACGAUAAUCCAUCCUGCAAAUGGGUCUCGAGGAGAGAGAAUACGUAUAUUUGGGUUAUGUCUUUUCUAAUAUCCAAAAUAGAUCUAUAGGUAUUAUGUUGGAGAUCUAUUUUAAAUUUGGGUUUUCUAAUGAGUCUGAGAUAGCAUAGUGUCUUUUUUAGAAAAGAAAGUCCUUUGGGCCUUGUUUAAUUCCUGAAGGAAAAAUUUUGCAACACUGUAUCAGUUUCGUUUGUUUGUGCUAAUUAUUGUCUAAUCAUAGACUAACUAAACUCAAAACAUUUGUCUCGUCAAUUCCGAUCAAACUGUGUAAUUAGUUUUUAUUUUUAUCUAUAUUUAAUAUUCAUGCAUGCGUCUAAAGAUUCGAUGUGACGAUGAAACUUGAAAAAAUUUUAAGUUUUUGGGUGGAAGUAAACAAGCCUUGGUUUUUUUAUAUGCACUCACGGGCAUCCGUACGAGAUGGUUCACGAAAGUCAAGGCAUUUUCAUGUGUUCUGUUUACACAAGGAAAAAAACCAAUAAUGGCUGGCAUGCCAUCACUUUUCCUUACAUUCCAUAGCGUCUUUUUCUGUUUUAUCAAUCAGUUUGGUAAUACUGUUUCAGAUAACACGAUCGGUGGAGUAUCCGGCGCUCUCGUCUUAUCCGGAGCGAGAGCGAGAGCGAGCGCACGGCCGCGGCCGCCGUACGGAUGGAGACGUUAUGUUAUGUGAUCCAAUCCACGACUCCACAGCACGUAGGACAACUAGCGAUAA
rnacentral:lncRNA from 1 species